rnacentral:rRNA from 1 species
AAUAGAUACCCGGGUAGUCCACGCCGUAAACGAUGUGUGCUAGACGGUCGGAUGUUCCGCAUUCGGUGUCGCCGCUAACGCAUUAAGCACACCGCCUGGGGAGUACAGCCGCAAGGUUAAACUCAAAGGAAUUGACGGGGGCCCGCACAAGCGGUGGAGCAUGUGGUUUAAUUCGACGCAACGCGCAGAACCUUACCAGCCCUUGACAUCCCGGUCGCGGGGAGCGGAGACGCUCGUUCUUCAGUUCGGCUGGACCGGAGACAGGUGCUGCAUGGCUGUCGUCAGCUCGUGUCGUGAGAUGUUGGGUUAAGUCCCGCAACGAGCGCAACCCUCAUCCUUAGUUGCCAUCAUUGAGUUGGGCACUCUAAGGAACUGCCGGUGACAAGCCGGAGGAAGGCGGGGAUGACGUCAAAUCCUCAUGGCCCUUAUGGGCUGGGCUACACACGUGCUACAAUGGCGGUGACAAUGGGCUGCGAGCCUGCAAAGGCAAGCAAAUCCCAAAAAGCCGUCUCAGUUCGG